rnacentral:rRNA from 1 species
GGCUCAGGAUGAACGCUGGCGGCGUGCCUAAUACAUGCAAGUCGAGCGAACGGACAGGAGUGCUUGCACUCCUUGAAGUUAGCGGCGGACGGGUGAGUAACACGUGGGUAACCUACCUAUAAGACUGGGAUAACUUCGGGAAACCGGAGCUAAUACCGGAUAAUAUAUACCUCCGCAUGGAGGAAUAGUCAAAGACGGUUCUGCUGUCACUUAUAGAUGGACCCGCGGUGUAUUAGCUAGUUGGUGAGGUAACGGCUCACCAAGGCAACGAUACAUAGCCGACCUGAGAGGGUGAUCGGCCACACUGGGACUGAGACACGGCCCAGACUCCUACGGGAGGCAGCAGUAGGGAAUCUUCCGCAAUGGACGAAAGUCUGACGGAGCAACGCCGCGUGAGUGAAGAAGGUUUUCGGAUCGUAAAACUCUGUUGUAAGGGAAGAACAAGUACGUUAGUAACUGAACGUACCU